CAAAAGUGUUAAAGGAAGUUGGCCCUUAAAUAAUUAAAGGAAAGAAGAAGAAAUUGAGAGCAAGGGAGGAACAUUAAUGAGAAUGUCUGCUAACAAAGAUAACAAUGGAGAGACUGGUACUGAUAAUCUUGAGCAUAUUAGGAGCCAGUUUGAGUAUCACAGGAUGGAGUCAAUACAUCAAGAUAUUAUUGCUAUUAAGAAAU